AAAGCCCUGUUUUUUCUACUACUCUUCUAAUUUUCAGAAAAAUAUUAUUCUUGCAAUUAGAGAGCUUAUGAGACAACGAAUAAAGAAUUAAAGAGCAGAGAAUCGCGAGAGGACUGUAGUGGAAUAUACAAAAACGUUGUUCAAGAGGACAUUUUUAAUUGCAAAUCUCUCUCAGUUCUCAAGUAGAAGCCGAUGAUACAACGUGUAAAGUCACUUUGCUACGUUGUUGAUAGGUCGAUGAACUUAAGACGAGAAUAACCAUCCUUCCAAGCAGAUCUUGCAGCUAACCUUGAGGUGUCUGAGUGUCUUCUUCCGAGGACCAAUCUCUCCCAAUUUUUAAUAGCCGCUCCAAACGAUCUUCUUAAAAUUUGUUCGAACUCUAAGCUAAUUGAGGGACAUAGCACAAGCAGCCGUUUGUUCGCACAAAAAGACGAGAAAAAUACAAGGAACGAUAUACGACGUCUGUGUUCAUUUAGAAGACUUCGUAAUGAUUUUCCAGACGUUUAUGUUUAGCAGCAUAUUAUUCCAUUGGAGUUCAAUUUUAUUCGCGACUGAACAUGUCGGUUGUAAACGGCACGAAACAGUUGGAAAGCUAACUAAUUCCUCUUGCAAAACUGAAGCUGAAAGAUGGUGAUCCUGAUGACAAUCGAUGGAGGAUGGAACAUUAAAGGAACUAUUUAUCCGCGAGUAUUUUUACCGAAGAUUGAACCAAAGGAAUCGCUUGUUAACCGGUUACCGCGUAAGGAGGAUCGUUAUUAACGGUGCAGCUGAACCAAUUACUUUUGAGCAACGUGCACAGCGUUAAAUGGAGAUCGACACGGUCCUCUCUGAUCGUUGCAGUUCGUCAUUAACGUUUGCACCAACGAUUACUCGCAGCAAGGUCAAUAGCACGACGAGCGGAACGUGUUUAUGCGUUUCUGAGACUCUCUCCGCUCAGAAACCGUGAAGAAGAAAGUUUCGUGGUCCGAAUGUUCUACCAAUCCAUCGUUCGAUGUUUCUGUUAUCAUUAUCGAAUUCUUCGCUUCCUAUCAAGUCUAUGCAACGACGAUUCUUAGUCUCCGAAAAUAGUUUUCUUUUUAGAGUAUCUUCAAAUUAACUCUGAACUAUUACCGUGAGGUGCUAGAAGUCCUAGAGUACUGUAGAAUCACCAGAAUUAUCAUAAUCUUGCUCUAAAGUGAAAUACGACUCUAACUACCUCUGCAAUAUUCGAUUAAGUGUUGUAUAGUCAUUGUAAUUUAUAAGUUCAGAUAUAAAUCUUCCAGUAGAGUAUCUUCAAAUUUCACCAUGGAGUUCAGUUACUUUUACACGUCAGAAAAAUAUUUAUCGUUCUUGAUGGAUUAAUGAAAGAUAUUACGGUUCCUUUUGAGAAUUCUAGGAAAGAUCUGAGAAACUAUAACGUAUCUCGUGAAUCAAAUUUAUCGGUCUUUAGAUUAUGAAUUCUUAAUCUCUGGAUCGAUCUUAUUUUUCAGUUGCUCUUCGAACGAAUAAGAUUUCUUUCUCGGAAAAAAAGAUCUUUGUCCGAAAGAUUCUUCUUUAUUUCAGUCGAAGAAAUUUCCUAUUAAUUCUAUAAUUAUUCUCUUUUCCUUAUUUCUCGGAAGUAAAACAGUUUCGAAAGAAUCCACUGUCACCCAUGAAUGAACACUAAUACCAUUGAUCGUUAAAUCUUGGCCUUGAAUUUAUCAGCUCUUAUCUCCUACGAAAGAUACUGAACUUUAUUAGCGAAUCAUUGGUAUAUCGACGUACCGUAUAGGAUAACGAUAUUAAAUAGGAUGAAUUUCCAAUUUCAACGUUGUUUUACCAGUAACGGAGAUAUCAGUCUCCAUGUUAAAUAUAUUCUGACGUCUGAAUCUCACCUGUGCCCGCAUAAAAUCACCGCGAUGUGAAAUCUUUGGAGUUGGUCGCGCGUGGUGCGCGUGGCGAGCAACGUAGCGCGGCGAGACAGAGCAAAUUAUGCCACUUUUUUUUGCAAUGGCGAAGAAAAUACUCAUCGAACGAACUCGCGUUUCGGUGCCUGCGAAAUUCUAGCCGUAGGCCUCGAUUAACGGUACGUGUUUGUGUUAUUUUUUCCUGAUCACGAUCGUGACGCGUACGGACCUUCUUCGUAGAUAUAAAAGAUGAUAAUCGAAGCAUCAAUAGGAAUCAGUAAGUAGGAAGAUACCGAAGACUAUGACGAAUCUCUGUCGCUUUUCGUCGUUCGUCUACGUCGCUACGAUUCCGAAGUUAAAAUUUCAUGUCGUUUUUCGCGUACGUCGCUACGAUUGUAUCGUAUCGAGGAGGAUAAAAAGGUAUUGAAGAAGGAUGUUCUGCAGACUGAAGAAGAGAUGAAGAGUUUAAACGACGAUCGUAUAGUAUCAAGGACAACAAAAGAUCGUUUCGAUAAUUCUUUUGGACGUUCGGAAGGCGUGUAAGGCUACACUUUUGCGUGGGUUUACGUCAUUUUUACACGCGUCAUACGACGAUCAUGCUGCGUCAAUAAUAAUAAAAACGUCUCUGCACCAUUUUUUCUCAUUUUAUUGUUACACAUCAACGCGAUCGUAUUUUAUCGAGGGUGAUCGUUUUACGAAUUUAGGAUUGUGGUCGCCGCUUUUGAUUAAGAGAUUCCAGGAAUAAGGAAUUAAAAAAUCGUGGAACGUUCAAGGCCUUUUGUAUCAUACGAUUUAACGAUUUCUUAUUUUGCCGGUAUAAGCUCGUAUAAUCUGGUUAUUGUCAGGUGUGCGUUUCUCCUUUGCUUUUGAAAAACGCACUGAAUCAUGUUUGUUGAGGAUUUGAUAUGAUUGAUAGAAUGGGUGAGCGAAAUCUCUAAAUCAGAGUCCAAUAGUCAUAGCCUUCAUAAGAUGCCAUCGAUUAUCUUCACUGAUUCGCAAAAUUCAAAAUCACCAGGAUCUUUGGAUUAAAACCUAAUACAAUCAGAUUUGUUGGCACAAUCUUCGCUUUAAGUUAUCAGCUUUGCAGAUUAAUUCUAUAGAAUCUAAUGUAUAGAAUUUGUAUAUCAUCAUCCAGGGAAAUUCUACGUUUUCUAGCUUUGGUGUGAACGGAAGGAACGUUUCGAGAAAGCAAAUGCAAGCGUAGAAGCUUUAUCGUAAGAGAUCGAUUUUAAUUAAACCCCAAACAUUUGAAUUUCCUCGCUUUAACUUGGAACGACAAAUAUUCGUGGAAAAAGACGGAAAAAGGUGAAAUACGAGUUUCGAGAAAUUGAUCGGUAUCGUAAGCUUCGAUAAAUAACGCGAACGAUCGACCAUAUCAUAUGAUCGUCGAUGUAAUUGGAAAUCAUUUGUCACCCGUGGUUCUGCUAUUCGCGAGUAAUAAUUCUGUGGCACGCUAAUGCCAAUUAGGGUCACACGAGCGCUAUACGCGCGUGCCUGGUGCUAUCAAAAUGUUACGACUCUGCUGAAAUGUUCAAAAUAUACAAUGCAAUUGCAAAAUCAUAUACCUAUAUCCAUCAAACGAAACGAGAUACCAUUAUAAUACAAAAUUGCAGUCUUCCACUCGAUCAUGCAAAUAUCGCAGAGCUCCAUUUGUCGGAAUGAAAUUUUGCUUAGCGUUUGAUAAAAUCUUUCGAGAUAGAUUUUUUUAAAUAGCUAAUGCGACGAUACUGUUGUUCAAAUUACGACAGACGAAAAAGAUAUUACACGUUGUUUAAUAAAAUAACAUGUGAAAUUUUCACUGACAUUUUAUUUUAUAAUUUUCUUUGACAUUUUAUCUUCUUUGAGUUUGGACGUGUUGCAAAUCCUGGCAACAUAGAAACAUAAAUCAAGCAUAAUUCUCAUAACGUAACUGCAAUUAUAGCAGGAGGAAUUUUUUGAAAUUUCCGAACAUCGGUAAAUCCGUAUGUUAUUUCGAUGAUUCCAAAAAUAUUACAACGAUUCAACGAUCUGUUUUGCCUUGGAACGUAGCGUUCGAUUACUCUCGAAAGUUAACGUUCGAAUAUCUAUGAAACUAUAUAUGAAACUAUAUAUAGAAGAAAUCGUCGAAUUAUCCUAUAAAUGUUCGAUCUUUAUAGAAUUCCGAUAAACGAAGCUCUCUGAUUGAUAAAAGAAACUUGUAUGCGCGUGAAAAAUGUAAAACAGCUUCAAACAAGAUGGAAAAUAAAAGGAAAAAGUAAUUGAACACGAGUAUGUACAUGUGUGUGGUGCAUCGUGCGGAAAGAGUACGAAAAUAUCUCAAUUCGUUGUGCCAUUUCUUCUACAACCUUUCACUCGCAGCAGCUUCGAGAGGCUACGGUACAAAAUAGAGAUGAACUGUGCUGUUGGUUUGUCGUAGACGUUGUGCAAAUUUCGUACAAUUCGUUGUACAAAUACGUUUAAAAAGUAAUCGAACGUGUUCUCGGUAGUUGGAUGUCUGAUAACUCUAAAGUCUAAAGUACCAUUGAUUGAUAAGUCGUAGGCGAAUUUACGAACAAAUCAAUCUAGAACAGAAGACAGUUCGAAUUGCUUUAAAUUACUUUCGUCCAAAUACGAGGUCUUAUUUAGUGCAAUUAUUUAAAGUAGAUCGACGAUUAAUUUAUUCGAAUAAUGCAAAAGAAACAAUCAUAUCUGUUCAGACGUACGACCACUUUUAUGUAUCACCGUGUUGUGCUUCUGCUUUGGUGCUAUUCAUUACGCAUUAGUAAUUCAAGAAAAAUGACAACGUUAGUAAACAACAGAUCAGGUGGAACAGUAAUACGACACUUGUACUCGUUUUUCAUUGAUCAUUAUGGCUGAGAAGACAGCAAGCAGCUUGACACGCUAAGUUUGUAAAAGUAUGUUUCUUCUUUUGCGUUCUAGAUUCACCUGUCGUGGUAUCGACCUGCGAAUAAGGGUCUCAAAUAAAUAGUACUUGCGUUCUUAGAGCUUCGACAUGACCAGUAUUAUGCGAAGUUAACGCGACACGAUAUAGCGGUAGAUACCAAUGGUUCGUGUGGCUAUCGUACUUUCAAUGAACGAUGUGUAUCUUAAAAAAGAUUCU